UGAUGGGAAGCAGGUUAAUAUUCCUGCACCGUCGUAUGAUGCGAUGGGGGGACGGAUCGCGGAAGGUUGUCCAACUGUUGGAAUAGUUGGUUUUUGGCUCAUAGAAGGUACUUAGGCAAAUCCGGGUACGGAAUUCAAGGGGUUGAGACGAGUGAACUUGUUCACGAAGCAAUCGGAAGUGGUUCCAAGAAAAGCCUCUAAGCUUCAGUCAUACGAGACCGUACCGCAAACCGACACAGGUGGGCGAGAUGAGUAUUC
rnacentral:rRNA from 1 species